rnacentral:lncRNA from 1 species
AGGUCCCAUGGGGUGGUGGGAUCUCAUGGGGUGGUGGGGUGGUGGGUCUCCCAGGGGUGGUGGGAUUUGGGAUGGUGGGAUCCCAUGGGGUGGUGGGAUUUGGGGUGGUGGGAUCCCAUGGGGUGGUGAGAUGCUGGGGUGGUGGGUCUCCAUGGGGUGGUGGGAUCCCAUGGGGUGGUGGGAUCCCAUGGGGUGGUGAGAUGUUGGGGUUGUGGGUCUCCAUGGGGUGGUGGGAUUUGGGGUGGUGGGUCUCCAUGGGGUGGUGGAUUUGGGGUGGUGGGAUCCCAUGGGGUGGUGAGAUGUUGGGGUUGUGGGUCUCCAUGGGGUGGUGGGAUUUGGCGUGGUGGGUCUCCAUGGGGUGGUGGAUCUCCAUGGGGUGGUGGUCUCCAUGGGGUGGUGGAUCUCUAUGGGGUGGUGGUCUCCAUGGGGUGGUGGAUCUCUAUGGGGUGGUGG